rnacentral:rRNA from 1 species
UACAGAGGGGGCAAGCGUUGUUCGGAAUUACUGGGCGUAAAGGGCUCGUAGGCGGCCAACUAAGUCGGACGUGAAAUCCCUCAGCUUAACUGGGGAACUGCGUCCGAUACUGGAUGGCUUGGAUUUGGGAGAGGGAUGCGGAAUUCCAGGUGUAGCGGUGAAAUGCGUAGAUAUCUGGAGGAACACCGGUGGCGAAGGCGGCAUCCUGGACCAAUAUUGACGCUGAGGAGCGAAAGCUAGGGGAGCAAACGGG